rnacentral:lncRNA from 1 species
AGGACGAUGAUUCGGCGGAGCAGGUAAACAUUUCAUCUUUGUUUGCAUUUCAAGGUCGAAUUAUUUGAGCUGGGAGCUUGAACAAUUCAUAUGAUGAUUCUACUUGUGCUAAUAAGAAAUGCCAUUCUACUUGCCAAGAGGAAAACAACUUCAUAGUUUACAGGGCUUAACAAUUAGCUACAUGGUAAAGUCGCUGAUUUAAUUCUUUCCCAUAAUAGGGACGAAGUGAUAAUUUGAUUAGUGGUUUGACACAGCCUUUGCUCAUAGAGACAAAGGAGUGGCAAGUUGACAAUGCAGAGGAUAAUGAUGGUUGCUGGUCCAUACAGAUUCCUCAUGCCACAUGUGAAGGUUUUCUCGUAAUCUCUUUAAUGUGCUUAUUUUUUGUUGCUGAAUGCAUAACCUUCAUUUGCAUUGGCUCUUUUCACAAAUAUAUCAGUUUCAGUUCUUCAUCAACUUCAUUCUCUAGUCUGCAAUGGUCAUUUUUCUUAUGGAAUGACAAAUUUAUUGCACACAGUUGUACACAAAAUAUUUUAGCAUUACUAUCAUCUUCUAAUACAGAACGGGAAGUGUUGGAACCUAUAAAUCGAUGAAAAAUUGGAACAAUUAUUUUUGUAAUGAAUCUAUAAAUAAAAUGAAAAAAAUAAUAUUGUAAUGCUCAAUCAUCUUCUGGUUGUUGAGCGGAACGCUGUUGAUGAUUACUCCACAACUGUCGAGCAAUGCCUGCACGAACUCUCUCACCAGCAGCUCGUUCAUCUUCUCUUGCUUGCCCUCUAACUUGCUGAUCACCAUGGUCAACAUGUUGUUGUGCUUCCCCAUGCUCAUAAAGCUUGAACAACUCAUCAUGAUGAUUAACCUUCCGGAUGAAGUUGUGGAUAACACAACAAGCCAUAACAAUUUUGACUUGUGUUUUAUAUGGAUAAGGAAUUCCUCCUUUCCUACUUAAAAUUGGAAAGCGAGCUUUUAGAACACCAAAAGUUCGCUCAACAACAUUUCGUAGUUGUGCGUGCAGAUGAUUGAACAUAUCUUUCUCACUAGUAUAUCGUCGAUUACUUCCACGAAAAGAAGCAAUAUGAUAACGAUCUCCACGGUACGGGGCAAUAAAUUUUGGAGUAUUUACAUAUCCAGAAUCAACAAGAUAAAAUUUACCUGCGCGCAAGGUUUGAUAGCACGGUCAGAAUCUUUAUGUAAUAAGAUUAACCAAUAUAUAGUUCAUAUGUUUGAACUUUUACCUUCAGGGACAACAAAACCCCCACUAGUAACAGCCCAUCUUAGAACUGCUUGAUCUGACGCAGAACCUUCCCAUCCAGCAGCGACAUAUGAGAAUGUCAUGUCAAAUGACACUGCUGCCAUUACAUUUUGAGAGGGGUAACCAUGUCUAUUUCUAUAAGGAGUUUGCUUAUCUAGCCUGAUUUUGCCUCAAUGUGUGUCCCAUCGAUUGCUCCUAGGCAGUUCUGUUGGGAUUUUUGUUAGUCAAACAAUGAAGUUUAAGGUUGCAUGAUGUAGUAUUUAAUCAUAUUUAAAAGGAACAUGUGUUUGCGAUAGGAAAAUACCUUGAAAUAUGGGUAGAACCUUGCAUCACCCAAUAUUUUUGCCGGGAUUUCAUUCCUUGGAUCUGUUAUGCAAACAUCACGCAACCCAUUUAUGGCAUCUAAAACAAUGUUGAAGUGUCAGCUGAUUGGUUCACCAGAAUGCUGAUAUCUAUCUUGGAUGACACGGUUCCUAACAUUGUGACCAAUGGUAUGUAGAAACAUGAGUAGUUGUUCGUCCACUGUCAUUUGCUUUGUAUCCUUCAGUAAGCCUCUCUCACACAAAACAUCUCGCAGCAAGUAGAAUAUGUGCUUCUCAAGACGAAUUUGUUCAUAAAAUCUAACUGGAUGUCCCUCUAGCAACUCUUUUGUUUUCUGGGCACCAGUUAAUAUGGAGGUGUUACGAGGUGUUUUGAAUAACCUUGUGAACAACACAUCACGAAACACGGACACUGCAGAAAUGUUAUUAAUAAGAACUUGCUCGGAAUCAGAAAAUUCAUCAUCUGGAACAUUCAAACUGUUCAUGGUUCCCUGCACAGUGUACACUAUUGAUUGUAUCAUCUCAGAAUAAUAUUUUAUAAGAUAUAUGAAAUAGUUGGAAAUGAACUUUCUCAAACUGAAAGUACAGUUGAUUGUUGCAACACAAACUAACAGAAAAAGCAAUGGAAAUUGUUCUCUAAAUAUAUAAAACGACAAUUACUGAAAUCAAAUAAUGCUGUAUUACAAAAUAACUAAGGAUCAAGAAUCCAAAGCUUUCGAGUUUCUUCAUCCAUCUCAAUGAAAAUGGCGCGUUUGUCACCAUCUGUAAAUGCUUUUACUGCUUUCAGUUUUGUGCUGGCAUCGAGGCUAUCCAUACUAUUUAAUACUGACAUGCAUGAUUUAACCGAGUAAGUGUCAUUUUGUUCAGCUGUUUUUUUCUUUGCUUCAGCAAUGCUGAGUGAUGCAUCUGCAAGACGAUCAAUUGCUAUUAUGGCAUCAUCAGCUGUACGUUUUUGUCCUCUUGUAGUUUCUUUUGAUCCACUUCCAGGGAAUUUCUUUUUCUCUGGCUCAAUGGCUGUCGACUUCUUAGUGAACACACCAGGGGAGCCAUCGUUUUCAUCAGACUCGAUUUCAUGUACUUCAACAUCCUUAUUGAGAUCAAUUUGAGAUGAUUUAGUUUUGCAUGCACCAUCUUUCCCUUUGCUAGAUACAGCACCAACUCCAGAUGCCGUUGAACUAGCACAUAUUUGUUGAAGAUCUUCCCAACUAGGCCACACCUUUUCUCGAUAUUCUUGGAGUGACUUAUCCUUCUGCAAGUUGUUAAUUUUUAUAUUAAUAAAUAUAAUAUACCAAUUUUAUAUGAAUCCUACUCGCACAAACUUACCUCAAUUAGUUCCUCCCAAGUUUCUUCUGAAGCUUUUAUCAUUUUGUCAUCGUUGUCCCAACCAAAUCCCGUCAGUUUAAGAAGUCUAUCCAUGGCAGCAUAGCAACUCCUGUAGUACUUAUGGCGAUUUUUCAAUUGUUGUAAUUCAAGUUUGUCUACUCUUGAAUCAUUGAAUUGUUCUAAGAUAUCAAGCCAUGCUUUCUUUGUGUAACCUGUUCCUUCUUUCCCUCCGUGUAAAGUUUGAUCUUUCAGUAUAGUGAGAAGUAUUUUGUCCUCCGACGAUUUCCAUACAUGCCUCUUUUUAUCUGGGUUUUCUUUCCUAUUUUUUUGGUCCUUCUGAUCAUCCAUAUUUAUCUACAAGAAAAUAAAAAAUUUAAAUGAGUUGUACUGCAUUCAUGAUAAUAAUAUUUCAACUGCAUUCAUGUGAUCUCUUGGCGUGUAUUCUUCUAAUUGCAGUAGACAAAUGGGGGUCUAGGACUGAGCUAAUCUUUACUGUUUUACCCAUGACAACAGUUACUACUAAUUGUUUGAUUUCUACGUGUAUUCCUAUGUUCUUUUCACAAUGUAGGUCGGCAAAGGAACUGAUGGCUUGUAUUUCAGUGAUCUACUGUUGGCUUACCAUUUGUUUUUAUAGAGGUAAGCUGCAUGUGGAUGUUGAAUUUAAAUUCGAGGGCCCCUUAUAUCCAGGAGUACACGGUUGGCCUACAUACUAGACUAUGAUACAUGUGUAUACAAUUUAGACUACAUCACAAACAUACAUACUUAUAUCGCACAGUUCAGAUUGGCCUAGUGCCUAUUAAUACCAUAUAAAUAUAUAAUUAGAGUUAGCGUGCCAUUUACUAUUUUUUCAUAUCUGGCAUGUACCUGGUUUCCAUGUACAGCAGCAAGUAACUAGUGUAGUGGGUUUCUUUUAUAAUCAAACAGAGGUGUGUUUCCAAUUAGAGAGAGGAAGGGACAAAUUGCCAAGUUGGUGGUUCUAGUUUCAUCUACGAAUUGGCUAUGUCAGAUUACCAGAGUUUUUUUUCUUUCUGCAAAAUGAGCUUCAUUACCAAAAAAAUGAAUCGAUGAACAAUACCAUGAAUUUGUAGAUCUACAACUUAUACAUACGAAUUUGUUGAUCAGGAUGAUUGAUCGAUGAACAAUACCAUGAAAUUUGUACAUCUACAACUUAAAUGAACUAAUUUGUUGAUCUGGAUGAUUGAUCAAUGGACAAUGUCAUGAAAUAUGUACAUCGGCUACAACUUAUAUUGACAGGAUGAUUGAUCUUACCAGGGUCGUGCAACUUGAUUGAAGAUGGGAAGAUGAUGAGAACCGCCUGAUGAAGACGCCGCUGAGAACCAGCGCCAGCGUCUCCCAGCCAGCGCCUGUGACUGGAAUUGACGGCCAGCCAGUUUAAUUAGCGAUGGGGCCUGUAUAUAAGCAAUGAAAAAGGCGCGAGGGCGAGCAGCAAAACGCAGAACUGGCGCCAGAAAAGUUGUUGAGAAGCGAGCGGGCGGGAAAAAGUUGUUGCGAUCACGCAUAUAGAAAUCGCGUUUGUGGAAAAACGGAUAAAACUCGUUUUUCUAUAAGCCCGAAUCUUGGGUUGUACAGUUCCAGGUUUCCUAUAAACGUGGAUUUGUUAUAGUAGCCAAACGAGGUUUUGUUUGGUUGAACCGUUUUCCUGGUUUAUAGAGUACGGAUUCUAUAUAUAUCUUCUAUCCAAACAACACCUUAGCGAUGCGGAAGCAAG